AUGUCAAUUACAGGUAGACAUCCUCCCAGAUCACAUCAGUCACGAAGUACAGGCACAGAGGACGAAAAAUCUUAUGCUUAUCCAUCCUGUUUUUUCUCAAAUCUACCAAGGAGAAGACUAAUAAUCUACGCACAGCCUAUCCACAUGGCUCCGAAGGGAGGAGCCUAUUUGGUUCUGCUCAUCAUGGCCUCUGCAGUUUUGGCUCAACUUCCACAUAUGGGGCCUCAAGAAAAAGCUGAGUUAGAAAAAGUGACUGAAAAACUGAUGAAGAAGUGCUACUAUAGGGGUAAGAAAACUUUCAAUUCACUUUUAAAGAGAAGAAUGUGUAUGUGUGUAAAGUACACCCUCUUUCACAUUCUUAUAUACCACUCACUACGUAAUAAAAAUAAUCUGGUCGGGGCCUUUCUGUGUGACAUGUUCUCGCUGUGUUUGCAUGGGUUCUCAUGUUAGGUUAACUGUUCAUUCUAAAUUGCCCAUAGGUGAGUGUGAGUGGUUGUUUCUAUGUCUUAGCCGUGUGAUAGCCUGGCAGCCUGUCCAGGGUGUACCCCUCCUCUUGCCCUGAGAUAGCUGGUAUAGGUUCCAGCCCCACCAUGAACCUGAUAAGGAUAAGCAGAAAAGAACGGAUGGAUGAAUCUAUGUAUAAGGAACUUUGAAGUUGUUAAAGGUGGUUGUACACGCUACUGAAUCAUUGUGUGCUUAGUUUUAUUAAAAAAUUAACAUGUAUACAAUCUUGGAACUGACACAGGGUGUACUGAAGCUGAACCUUAAAAUGUUUUGUUGGAAUAAUUGUAAUAUAACUCCAGUCACCAUACUGACUGGGUCAGUGUGAGAGUUUGAAUACCCUGACCACAUUCUGUAAUAUGAGCCACAACUGAUAAUGGUUUGAUUUUACAGGAUACCCAGAGCCUAAUUUGAUGCAGGUCAACAGUGUCUUCAACUCCAGGUAAUUCUUUUUUGUAUUUUGUUGCUGCCCUAAAGAAGCAAGUGGUCACUGCAGUUAUCACA
rnacentral:lncRNA from 1 species